GGCCCCAUAGUUCAAGGGAUAGAACGAGGGUUUCCUAAACCCUAAAUCCGCGUUCGAGUCGCGGUGGGGUCA
rnacentral:tRNA from 1 species